ACUCAAAUGAAUUGACGGGGACCCGCACAAGCAGUGGAGUAUGUGGUUUAAUUCGAUGCUAAGCGAAAAACCUUACCGAGGCUUGACAUCCCAGGAAUCUCGCAGAAACGUGAGAGUGCCUUCGGGAGCCUGGUGACAGGUGCUGCAUGGCCGUCGUCAGCUCGUGUCGUGAGAUGUUGGGUUAAGUCCCGCAACGAGCGCAACCCUUAUCGCGUGUUACACUUUCACGCGAGACUGCCCGGGUAACCGGGAGGAAGGUGAGGAUGACGUCUGGUCAGCAUGGCCCUUACGCCUCGGGCUACACACGUACUACAAUGGCCGUUACAAAGGGUUUGCCAAGCCGCAAGGCGGAGCUAAUCCCAUCAAAAGCGGUCUCAGUUCGGAUUGAGGGCUGAAACUCGCCCUCAUGAAGUCGGAAUUGCUAGUAAUGGCGGAUCAGCAUGCCGCCGUGAAUACGUUCCCGGGUCUUGCACACACCGCCCGU
rnacentral:rRNA from 1 species